GGUGUAUCUGAGUGGUAGAGCAUCUGCUUUGUAUGCUGAAGGUCCCGGGUUUGAUCCCUGUCAUCUCUA